ACGCGGACUGCGCAUGCUACAAAAGCAACUUCUCAUUGGUAGAAAAUUCCGAUCAUCCGGUGUGUGAGCCUAUUGAAGCGCGGUUCUUACCGGAAACCCUAAUUCAAAUGUAGAAACCCCCCCCAGUUGAGCUGUAAAGGCGUACAAGCAUGGCUUCGAUUGUUCUGCCUAUGAAGGGAAAACGCAUAAAUCUGAAAAUGCAUGAAGACUGAUGCAGCACCGAGGAGUCUGAGCUCAAGUUUUCACUGAUCUGGAUGAUCGUCUUCUAAAGGCUGAAGAUAAGAGGAUCCACAAAGGAUCAGCUGUGAUGUGUCAGCCUUUGUCAAUGAUGACGUACAAAAUGGAACGGCACACAUUAUCUCCUCUGUGGUGGAAUAAAGAUCCCAACCCGAAACCAUGGUGAGGUGGAUUUCUUUUUCUUAAGAAUUUUUUUUUUUUUAAGUGAACAGGUUUUUGUGCCAUUUUUGUUUUCCUCCACGUAUGUUUGAUAUCCUACACUGUCCGUUCUGUCUGAUUAUCAAGACAAUAAACCAAGCUCAUAUUUUUUUGUGUGAUGGUGUCUCCCCCAGUGGAAUCACAAGGCGCUACAAUAAAUUUAUUUUAGACAUUUGAUGUUGAUUAUAGAGGCCCUAUUAGUGGUUAUGCCUCCAAACAAAACAAACCCCACAAUAACAGUUCACCUUUAACUUCUAUCCUUUGGUUGGUCAUUUUCAUCUGUUCAUGAUUAUACUCCCAAUUGAAAUGUAAUUUAAAAAAAAUUGGUAUCUGAAAUAAAAAUUCUUUAAAUGUUCUUUAAAUGUUUUAUGUUGUUUUUUACACACACAAUAUAUUAGAGCUAAAAUAAAUGCCAGAUCAUUUGAUUCGAUAUAAAGCUGUACUUUUCAGCCACUGUUUUUAAUUUGUAACAGAGCAGUCUCGCCAUUAUUUCAUUAUUCCACGAAAAAAAAGUGGUGAAAGUGUUUUUGUUCUGUAUCAACAGCGUCCCCUCACAGCAGCGUUUGUCAUUUCUUACAUCAUGCGGACUAUUCAGAGGUUUGGUCCUAAAUGGUCCUCGAGUAAAAAGACAGCUUUAUUGUGUAUCGUUUUUGCGCGAGUACACGUACCAACCACUAGAGGGCAGUGAGGCAGCAGUGUUCUUUAGCCAUCUAAUCCAAUGUGGUGAUGAAACUGGUUUUGUUUAGCAUAUCAUUUGUUCACACUAUAUAUGUAUGUGUGUUUAUAUAUAUAUAGUAUGUAAUGCAUAUGCUUCAGAUAUAAGCAAAUAUUCAAUAUGCAAUCAUUCUGAUUACUGCAUAGGUAUUUUUUUGAGUUUAUAUGUAUAAAUAAAAACUACAUUCUCAAAAUCCAUAAGAUUGUCAGAAACAAAGUGAAAAGCCCUGUAAAUGCCUGACAUCAAAUCCCUGCAUAUAUGUUGAUGUUAAAAUGUGAAACUGACAGGAGUACUCUUCAUAUCCAAGAGUUCCAGUCUGCUGUAUUUGCAUUUUCUCAGGAAACUAGUUGUAAUCAAACUCCAAAUCUGCAUUUAGCUUCAGUUGGACUGACACAUUAAAUAUAUCAAGUUAUUUUUCUUCUUUGCAACAUUUCUGUUCCAGUUCUGAGGCAAAGAAUAUGAGAUUGCCAAAUUUCAGUGUGGCAGCAGAAGGCUGUGAUUAUCUAGAGGAUUCAGUGUGGUGUUAAGUAGAAAAUGGCUCACACUGAGCACAGUUUACAUUCAUUUGGAACUGAUAAUGCCUUUCACUGGAAUUUAUUUUGGCCUAAUGUAAGCAGCAUGUGGCACAUUGGUGCAACUCACCAGUGUAGUAGCUGCUCAGAAAUUCUCCAGGGACACACGCAUAUAAACACACAAAAAAAUAAGCAGCCAAUAUUUUGCGUGUUUCACCUCAGGGAAAUGCAGAAAACAGACUGGAGCUCAAUAGGUCUCUUGCUGCCAUGAUCCUUUUUUCAACAAUCCAUUAUUUACUCUCAUAAAGCUCGUGUCUUUAGGCAAAUCACAGAAAUGAGUGCAAAUCCUGGUACCCGGGAGUGAACCCUGUUGGAGAAAUCGCAAUGUAAUUUCUCUUAAGUUAUGUCACAGCGGAUGUGUUUUUGGGGGCAGAGGGAUGUUUUUUCCCCUCGUAUUUUCAUAUUACAUAGAGCUCAUAAAUGCAUCACGACUCACGACAGUACUGUACAUACAGUAUAGAUAUAUAGAUACCUGUAGCUUGGAGGUGAGAAUACACAGGAUUUGUUUUUCACAAAUGUGCUAAGAGGACC